GAUGAACACUGGCGGUAUGCUUAACACAUGCAAGUCGAACGGUCACUUCGGUGAUAGUGGCGGACGGGUGAGUAACGCGUGAGAAUCUGUCUUCAGGUCGGGGACAACAGUUAGAAAUGACUGCUAAUACCGGAUGUGCCUUUGGGUGAAAGAUUUAUUGCCUGAAAAAGAGCUCGCGUCAGAUUAGCUAGUAGGUGGUGUAAGAGACUACCUAGGCUCCGAUCUGUAGCUGGUCUGAGAGGACGAUCAGCCACACUGGAACUGAGACACGGUCCAGACUCCUACGGGAGGCAGCAGUGGGGAAUUUUCCGCAAUGGGCGAAAGCCUGACGGAGCAAUACCGCGUGAGGGACGAAGGCUUUUGGGUCGUAAACCUCUUUUCUCAAGGAAGAUGAUGACGGUACUUGAGGAAUAAGCAUCGGCUAACUCUGUG
rnacentral:rRNA from 1 species